rnacentral:rRNA from 1 species
CGUUUCCGGAUUUAUUGGGUUUAAAGGGUCCGYAGGCGGAUCUUUAAGUCAGUGGUGAAAGCCUGCAGCUCAACUGUAGAACUGCCAUUGAUACUGGUAUUCCUUGAGUGUAGAUAGAAGURGGCGGAAUAYGUCAUGUAGCGGUGAAAUGCAUAGAUAUGMCUUAGAACACCGAUUGCGAAGGCAGCUUACUAURYYAYUACUGACGCUGCAUGCACGAAAGCGAUGGGGAGCGAACAGGAUUAGAUACCCUGGUAGUCCACGCCGUAAACGUAUGAUUACUCAGMUGUUDGCGAUAUACWGUUAGCGGCYAAGCGAAAGCGUUAAGUAAU